AACGCACCUUGCACCCUUUGGUAUUCCGAAGGGUAUGCCUGUUUGAGUGUCAUUAAUAUUCUCAACCGUUGACUUGGGUUUUCCCUUGACGAUAGUGUUGGAUUUGAGGGUGUUGUGUCGGUCCACUUCAUAUUUUGAAGACGGUCGACUCCCUUUAAAAGCAUUAGUGGGUUUGACCUUUGUGGAUAUGCCUCGAUUUGAUAGUUAUCAAUAUGUCGUCGCACUGAAACAAUAAGCCUGCUUUCUAACUGUCCUUGACAAGGACUGCUCUAUUUAUUGAGCAAUAAGAGUCGUUGCCUUUGGGCUUGACUUGUAACGAUUUAUUUGACCUCAAAUCAGGUAGGACUACCCGCUGAACUUAA
rnacentral:misc_RNA from 1 species